UACGUAGGGGGCAAGCGUUGUCCGGAUUUACUGGGCGUAAAGAGCGUGUAGGCGGCCACGCAGGUCCGUUGUGAAAACUGGAGGCUCAACCUCCAGCUGUCGACGGAAACCGUGUGGCUAGAGUCCGGAAGAGGAGAGUGGAAUUCCUGGUGUAGCGGUGAAAUGCGCAGAUAUCAGGAAGAACACCAAUGGCGAAGGCAGAUCUCUGGGACGGUACUGACGCUGAGACGCGAAAGCGUGGGGAGCGAACAGG
rnacentral:rRNA from 1 species